AUGAUCCUAGAGGCCUCAGCUCAGGGGCUGCUGCAGCACCCAGUUGUUCCCAACUCGCCAUGUCAUGUUCUUCAAUACGCGGAUGACACUCUAAUUAUCAUAAAGGCAGACGAAGAUAACCUUGCCUCCCUAAAAUCUAUCCUGCUCAAUUUCUCCCUCACCACGGGUCUCCACAUCAAUUUUGCUAAAAGCACUUUUGCUCCAAUCCAUGUUGACCCUUCUGUGGCCGCUCGCAUGGCAAGUAUGUUGGGUUGCUCGGUCGCUACUUUCCCGCAGAACUAUCUUGGUCUCCCUUUGUCUACCCACAAACUUCGUCUAAUAGAUUUCCACCCGUUAAUUGCUAAGGUUGACAAAAGGUUAGCUGGUUGGCGAGGACACCUUCUCUCUGCGGCCGGUAGGGCAGUUCUU
rnacentral:rRNA from 1 species